UCCGGCCCGCCAGCCCGACACAUAAAAGGGGGUCGGGAUAGGGUUUUCAACCUGAAGACCCGUUAUACUCCGACCUAUUUUCUGUUCUGUUCUGACUAGGAUGGGUUGGAUCGGGCCAACUUGCAAUCCAUUUCACUACUAACAACAUGUGUUUUUUUCUUUUUGCUCUCCACUCCAGCCCGUCUGUACCGACUUCCAUCUUCUUCUUUGAUUCUUAUAUCUGCAACGACAAUCUCGCACAACGGGAGGGGACACCGCUGUUGAACCUUGUGUUCGACGAUCACCAAUUUCAGUGACGGUGAAGGCUGACGUGGUGGAGAGUGAAAAACAGUAGCAAACAAUUUGGGUUUGUGGAAUUACGACACAAAUUGGAAUGUGCUUGAAACUAUUGGAGGGUCCCAAGGUAUGGGCUAUGGUCAACUGAUAUCGACUAUUGCCACAAUGUGUUGAAGCACUUAUUUGUACUUCAAGUUAUAAGCAUGACUUUUGUGAAGAUAAUGAAGUACCUGACACAAUCACACAUGGAACAUUGGAGUGAGCUUCUUCCAUGGGUGGUUCUAAUACUCUUGGCAUUGGAGAACAUGAUGACUGCUGAUUAAGUUUCUGUUGAUGUAAUUGUGCAUUGUUUAUGAUGACAACCCAUUUGAUGCAUCUCGUUUUGCUUGUAAAAUUGGUGUAAUGUUUAUGAUGUUAAAUAUUUAGUUUAUGUUGGUUGGAUUUAAAUUACAUGGGAUAAUAGAACCUACACUUUUUGUGGUGUUAUUGGAUUGGAUAAUAGAAUAGAAACUGCAGGUUGUGGUGUUUUCGUA